rnacentral:rRNA from 1 species
UACGUAGGGUGCAAGCGUUGUCCGGAAUUAUUGGGCGUAAAGAGCUCGUAGGCGGUUUGUCGCGUCUGCUGUGAAAACCCGAGGCUCAACCUCGGGCCUGCAGUGGGUACGGGCAAACUAGAGUGCGGUAGGGGGAGAAUGGAAUUCCUGGUGUAGCGGUGGAAUGCGCAGAUAUCAGGAGGAACACCGAUGGCGAAGGCAGUUCUCUGGGCCGUAACUGACGCUGAGGAGCGAAAGCGUGGGGAGCGAACAGG